ACACGUGUGUUCCAAGGAACAGUCUGUAGAAAAUGGUGUUCCAAGCUGUGUUUCCAGUCUUGGGCAUUCACCUCUGAAGUGCAAGCUGUGGCAAGAAUCAGCCUUCUAGACCAAGGGAUAUAAUGACAAAAGAAGGACAAAGUAGGAAUAAGAAUAGUGCCUAUGUCCGCAGACGGUGGAGAAAACUAAAUAUGCGAACAUAUGAAGACUCAGAGCCCUGCUUGGCACAUGCACGUGAGGAGCUCCUCUGGAGAAACUUGGAGGGGGAUCGGUGCUUCGCCUUUUGGAGUAUCUUUAUACUCUGACAUCUAAGGAGACGACAUGCUUCCUCUCAUAGCUUCUUUAAAGCUCAUACAUAAGAAAAAACUGGAGCUAAAGUCAACAGAUUUUUCUCCUUGAGAAGGAAAUGAAGGCACAAAAAAUUUCAUUAAAUCACCAGUUUAAUGACAAGGCUCGUGGAUGAGAAGACCGAAGAAUGUAGGUGUCCUGACGCCUGGGAUAGUGUUUUCCCCACAUCUCUUACUUUAAUUUUGCUAGUGGCAUUCUAGUUGUAUUUGUAAUGCUUGGGAGCAUGAGUAUGCCACACUGUCUUUUACAAAACUAAUAAAACCUCGGCCAUGUGAACACCUCUCCAUAGUUAGCUGCUCUUAAAUCUUUAAUGAGGAGGGGAAAGCAGAUGUGGAGGAGGGGCAAAGAUAAAUGCCAGAGAACCAUCUGAAAAAGAAGCUGUGUGAAGUUGGCAGAGAACUGUAGCUGCAAGUCAGGCUCCAGAGUAAAAGCCUUCUAAUAUCCAGUUCUUAUAUAAACAAUUUGCUCCAAAUUAUCACCAGGAGGAGUUUCACUUGACUCAUGAGGUUGGAAGAAGGGUCAGGUUGGUGACAAGUUUGGGAUCAGGAUUUGGAAUCACUUGAUGUGGAGUCUACUUUAGAAAAGAGAAUUCUCUCAGCAAAAGUUCCCGUUUUAUCACCACUGGGUUCUGUUUCCUUGAGUAAACACAACUCAGGUUAUUCUCCCUCAGCUCCUUCAUCAAAAACCUCUGAGACUAUCCAUGUUAUUGUUUUUAAUAUAUGGGAAACAAACAAAACCAUUCUAUUCAUGGAAGAAAUGUUCCUCUAACUUAUAAAUUCAACCUGAAGAAAACUCUUGCGGUUCCCAAGAAUGCUUAUAAAAGAGAAAAAAAUCAUUUUUCAUGACUGAGAAAAGCUUUACUGUUGACUGGUUGAUAAAGGACUUUGACCCAAAGGUCUGAUUCAACCUAAAGAAAAUCUGUCACACUGGAACAGUCUGGGAAAGCCUUUCCAUUUCCAGAAUAAGUAUGGGUGAGAAUAUAAACUUCCACUCUUCCAGAAGAAAUAAUUUCUGCAAGUUAAUCAUAUCCUUAUGUUUCAAGUUAAAUUGGGAGCCAAACUAGCAAGGCAAUAUGGCACAACCUUUUUUUCUCAGUGAUCUAUCUUGUUUCUCCUCAGAAUUAUUAAAAAUUCAAAUAGACUUCCCUCAGAUAUCUAACAUAUUUCUAUGUGCCCCCCAAACUCAUCCUAUUUUCAAUAGUCAAAGGCAAUUAUAUUUGGUAUAAUAUGGCAUAUUUGUUGAAAAAUUACAUCAUCUGUUGCAAAGAUAAUAAUAGAAAGCUUUUGAUUAUUUACUGCCUGUGAUCAUCUCCACUAUUUCUUCUGUUAAUUAAGGUAGUCAAGAAUGAGUUAUAUUUAAAGCCGUGAAGCAAAGGUUGGUGAGAUCUUGGAGUUUUUGUGUUGCCCUUAAAUUUCUCAUGAGGUAAGUCAUACUGGAAGAACGUUAAGCAAAUAUCUUCUUGACUCCAGUUUUCCAAACCCAAGAACAUUUUAGGAAAAGGUCUCUUAAAUCUAUCGAUAAACAUCUAUAAAACCUUGUACAAUCAUACACAUUUUAAAUGUUUCUCUUUUUUUUUUUAAGAUUUUAUUUAUUUGAGAGAGAGAGAGAGUGAGAGAGAGAGCACAAGCGGGGAGAGUGGCAGGCAGAGGGAGAAGCAGAACUUGAUCCCAGGACCCUGGGAUCAUGACCUGAGCCAAAGGCAGACGCUUAAUGGACUGAGCCACCCAGGUGCCCUAAAUGUUUCAUUUUUAUAUCUAUUGAUUGAUUGCAAUUUUAAAAAUUUAACUGCUAGUUGUCACUUUGAUGAAACCAGUGCAAAUGGAGCAUUUUAAAAAAGAAAUUCCGCAAGAUGACUUUAAAAGUAUAUUAACAUUACCCUAUAUGAUUAUUAAAUGCUCCCUCUUGCUGAAGCUGCAGUGAAAAGAAAAUGACAUGAUCAUAAAUCCCUGUUGGAAAUGCAUAUUUUUAGAAAUUCCAGAAGAAUUUCUAAGCAAUGCACAGCAAGCCUAAGAAAACCAUUUUCAAUAUGUACAAGUGGCUUGAGCCUCAAACUCUUCCUUGUAGCACUGUUUUGUGAAUAGAUUUCCUCAAAUAAUAAAAAUAGUAUCUUUUUAAAAUUAAACAUAGACUAAGAUAAAGUAACCUGCAUUCCCACCACCCAGAGAAUUGCUAUUAUACUGGUUACAUAUUAAUGUAUCAUUUUCCAGGGUUUUUUUUUCCUGUAUACUCUUCCUAAAAUAUAAAAUGUAUUCCAUAUAAUGUUUUGUAAUCCACUCUGUACAUUUGUGUAUAGGACAUAUUUCAAUAUCACUAAAUAUUAUUUCACAAGGUAGUUUUAAACUUUAAUUACUUUGAACAGUCCUCUGUUAUUGGAUCUUUGUGUCAUUUUUAAGUUUUUAUUAUCUCAAAUAAUGCUGUAAUCAUUUGUUAUCUGUAAGCCUUUGAACACAUCCCUAAUUAUUCCCUUAAGAAAACGUCCCAGAAAUGGAAUUUCUGGGUCAAAGACUGUUACAUAUUUUAAGGCUUCUAAUACACAUUGCCGAAGUGCCUUCCAAAAUUGUUAGGUCAAUAUAUCCUCUCAUUGUAUGUGAAUGAAUGUCCCCAUUUCUCCCAGUCUUUAGCAAUCUCAAGUGUUAUAACUUUUAAUUACUCUUUGGCAAUUAAAUU